rnacentral:misc_RNA from 1 species
GCAAAAUCUCUAGAAACAUGGAGGAAAGCCUUUUCUAACCCUCUGCUGCUCCAGCAAAAAAUAUUCUUUUGACAUAAAAAUGGUGGAAGAGAUUUUUUAUUUUCUCUUAUCGAAAAAAUUCUUGACUCUUCCAUAGGGACAUAAGAUGCCAUCCAAAGAAGAGGUGAAAGAUAAGAAAUACUGUAGGUAUCAUGGUGAUUAGACUCGUCAUACUAAUUGCUGCUUGG